ncrna:unclassified sequences queA RNA
UUCAUGCCGUAACAUGAAGCGAGUCGUCCUUCCCCCAGUUUACAUGGGACGGCAAACUGAGUGUGGCUAU